CAAGGGCGGACCUGUAUGCGAACUAUAUUGCCAGCUUGAAGGAAGCCCCUUUGGUUACUGCCUUCCUGGAAGAAAUUACUGUCACUGCGUUAGCCCGCAAUUGCAAGAGGUUGCUGGCGCCGACUCAUCGUACAAGUACUACCUUGACGAAGGACGGUAUGUUAAACAAUUGAACGGCACAUACGGCUGUCCAAAGUUGUCCAACUGUGCUAUUACUUGUCUCACAUUACACAGCGCCGUUCAUGCAGUUUGUGGCCGAAACCCACCACAUCUCUGUUACUGCUACAUAAAUCGA
rnacentral:lncRNA from 1 species